rnacentral:rRNA from 1 species
UACAGAGGUGGCAAGCGUUGUUCGGAAUUACUGGGCGUAAAGGGCGCGUAGGCGGUCUUGUAAGUCUCGUGUGAAAUCCCUCGGCUUAACUGAGGAACUGCACGGGAUACUGCAUGACUUGAGAUCGGGAGAGGGAGGCGGAAUUCCGGGUGUAGCGGUGAAAUGCGUAGAUAUCCGGAGGAACACCGGUGGCGAAGGCGGCUUCCUGGACCGACACUGACGCUGAGGCGCGAAAGCUAGGGGAGCAAACGGG